rnacentral:rRNA from 1 species
AUUGAACGCUGGCGGCAUGCUUUACACAUGCAAGUCGAACGGUAACAGGCCUUCGGGUGCUGACGAGUGGCGAACGGGUGCGUAAUGCAUCGGAACGUACCAGAGGUGGGGGAUAACGCAGCGAAAGCUGUGCUAAUACCGCAUGUGAUCUGAGGAUGAAAGCGGGGGACCGAGCAGCCAUGUUUGGCCUCGCGCCUUUUGAGCGGCCGAUGUCGGAUUAGCUAGUUGGUGGGGUAAAGGCCUACCAAGGCGACGAUCCGUAGCUGGUCUGAGAGGACGACCAGCCACACUGGGACUGAGACACGGCCCAGACUCCUACGGGAGGCAGCAGUGGGGAAUUUUGGACAAUGGGCGCAAGCCUGAUCCAGCAAUGCCGCGUGCGGGAAGAAGGCCUUCGGGUUGUAAACCGCUUUUGGCAGGAACGAAACGGUGUCCGCUAAUACCGGGCGCUAAUGACGGUACCUGCAGAAUAAGCACCGGCUAACUACGUG